AUACGGAGGGUGCAAGCGUUAUUCGGAAUCACUGGGCGUAAAGGACGCGUAGGCGGGUUGGCAAGUCAGAUGUGAAAUCCUACAGCUUAACUGUAGAACUGCAUUUGAAACUGCUAACCUAGAGUAUGGGAGGGGGAGAUGGAAUUAGUGGUGUAGGGGUAAAAUCCGUAGAUAUCACUAGGAAUACCGAAAGCGAAGGCGAUCUCCUGGAACAUAACUGACGCUGAGGCGCGAAAGCGUGGGGAGCAAACAGGAUUAGAAACCCUAGUAGUCC
rnacentral:rRNA from 1 species